rnacentral:rRNA from 1 species
CGGACGGGUGAGUAACGCGUGAGUAACCUGCCUUACACAAGGGGAUAGCCGUUGGAAACGACGAAUAAUACCCUAUGACAUAAACUCUUUGCAUGAGGAGCUUAUCAAAGAUUUAUCGGUGUAAGAUGGACUCGCGUCUGAUUAGCUAGUUGGUGAGGUAACGGCCCACCAAGGCGACGAUCAGUAGCCGGCUUGAGAGAGUGUACGGCCACAUUGGGACUGAGACACGGCCCAGACUCCUACGGGAGGCAGCAGGU